AAUGGCUCAUUACAACAGCCACUGUUUACUUGAUCUUGACUAUCUUACUGGGAUAACUGUGGUAAUUCUAGAGCUAAUACACGCAUGAAAGCUCUGACCUCACGGGAGGAGCGCAUUUAUUAGAACAAAACCAAUCGGGCUCUCGGGCCCGCACAUUGGUGAAUCUGAAUAACUUUGCAGAUCGCAUGGUCUUCGCACCGGCGACGUAUCUUUCAAAUGUCUGCCUUAUCAACUUUAGAUGGUAGUUUACACGCCUACCAUGGUUGUAACGGGUAACGGAGAAUAAGGGUUCGACUCCGGAGAGGGAGCCUGAGAAAUGGCUACCACAUCCAAGGAAGGCAGCAGGCACGCAAAUUACCCACUCCCGGCACGGGGAGGUAGUGACGAAAAAUAACGAGGCGGUUCUCUCUGAGGCCCGCCAUCGGAAUGGGUACAAUUUAAAUCCUUUAACGAGGAUCUAUUGGAGGGCAAGUCUGGUGCCAG
rnacentral:rRNA from 1 species